UGCUUGUCUCAAAGAUUAAGCCAUGCAUGUCUAUGCACAAGCCGAAUACGGUGAAGCCGCGAAUGGCUCAUUACAACAGCCACGCUUACCUGAUUCUGAUUAUCCUACUCGGAUAACUGUGGUAAUUCUAGAGCUAAUACAUGCAACCAAGCUCCGACCGUAAGGGACGAGCGCAUUUAUUAGAACAAAACCAAUCGGGCUUCGGCCUGAGGUUUGGUGAAUCUGAAUAACUGAGCUGAUCGCAUGGUCUUUGUACCGGCGACGCAUCUUUCAAGUGUCUGCCUUAUCAACUUUCGAUGGUAGUUUAUGUGCCUACCAUGGUUGUAACGGGUAACGGAGAAUAAGGGUUCGACUCCGGAGAGGGAGCCUGAGAAACGGCUACCACAUCCRAGGAAGGCAGCAGGCA
rnacentral:rRNA from 1 species